AAGUACUGUGAUGGAAGUCAAAGGGAAGAAAAAAAUUACAGGAAAGAGUCCACAGACAUCACAAGGAAAGAAUAAAUUUCAUAAAAACAGUGAGUCUAGUUCUGCAAAGGCAUUCCCAAGGAAAGCUGCUAAGGAAGGCGGGCCUAAAGUCACAUCUAAGAACUUUGAGAAAGGUGCCACAAAACCUGGCAAGAAGCGUGUGAAGCAGUUCAAGAACAAGCCACAAGGGGGCAAAGGACCGAAGGACAAAUUCCAGAAGGCAAAUAAAUUCAACAAGAAGCGGAAAUUCCAGCCAGAUGGGAAAAGUGAUGCUCCACAUUGCUGAGCAUCCUGCAGGACAUCUGGUCCUCAAAUGGUUAAUAGAGCAAGAUAAAAAGAUAAAAGAAAAUGGAAAAGAAGGUUGUUUUGCAAAAACCCUUGUAGAGUGCGUUGGUAUGAAGAACCUCAAGUCCUGGGCCAGCAUCAACCGAGGAGCCAUCGUUCUUUCCAGCCUUCUUCAGAGUUGUGACCAGGACGUUGUAAACAAAGUCAAAGCUGGACUGAAAACCCUGAUUCCUACCUUGGAAAAAACCAAAAGCACCAGCAAAGGCAUCCAGACUCUGCUUGAGAAGUUGACUGCAUAGGCGCGCCAGAUGAGCAAGCUGGAACCCGCUUCCCGAGGGGAAGGGUGGAAUCUGUCACACUCAUAACUGGAUGCCCUAUGCAUGUACUUGUUAAAGGACCUAUUUAUAUAUAAAAUUGUAAAAGAG
rnacentral:lncRNA from 1 species